GAUGAACGCUGGCGGCGUGCUUAACACAUGCAAGUCGAACGAAGCACUUUAUUUGAUUUCCUUCGGGACUGAUUAUUUUGUGACUGAGUGGCGGACGGGUGAGUAACGCGUGGGUAACCUGCCUUGUGCAGGGGGAUAACAGUUGGAAACGGCUGCUAAUACCGCAUAAGCGCACAGCAUCGCAUGAUGCAGUGUGAAAAACUCCGGUGGUAUAAGAUGGACCCGCGUUGGAUUAGCUAGUUGGUGAGGUAACGGCCCACCAAGGCGACGAUCCAUAGCCGACCUGAGAGGGUGACCGGCCACAUUGGGACUGAGACACGGCCCAAACUCCUACGGGAGGCAGCAGUGGGGAAUAUUGCACAAUGGGCGAAAGCCUGAUGCAGCGACGCCGCGUGAGCGAAGAAGUAUUUCGGUAUGUAAAGCUCUAUCAGCAGGGAAGAUAAUGACGGUACCUGACUAAGAAGCACCGGCUAAAUACGUG
rnacentral:rRNA from 1 species